rnacentral:rRNA from 1 species
UACGGAGGAUGCAAGCGUUAUCCGGAUUUAUUGGGUUUAAAGGGUCCGUAGGCGGGAAAAUAAGUCAGUGGUGAAAGCCUACAGCUCAACUGUAGAACUGCCAUUGAUACUGUUUUUCUUGAAUUUAUAUGAAGUGGGCGGAAUGCGUCAUGUAGCGGUGAAAUGCACAGAUAUGACGCAGAACACCAAUUGCGAAGGCA